rnacentral:lncRNA from 15 species
ACACAGGGAUCCUGCCUUUGCGGAAGCCAGAGCAGCCGAGGCGGCGCUAAAUGAAAUUAGCAUACUAACUGUUUAUCUGUGCGGAUGGACGGGUGAACGGAGCUUCCUGGAGAAAACUCUCGUCCUCUGCAGUGCACACACCGCCGGAGUCCGGGCUCAUUUUGUGGGGAUCUUGCUGCCGUCCGCCUGCCGAGGAGAUGGGGGACAAGGCGGGCACCAGAGUUUUUAAGAAGUCGAGCCCCAACUGUAAGGUGACAGUUUACCUGGGAAAGAGGGACUUUGUGGAUCACCUGGACCACGUGGACCCAGUAGAUGGAGUGAUCCUCGUCGACCCCGAGUAUCUGAAGGACAGGAAAGUCUUCGUCACUCUGACCUGUGCGUUUCGAUACGGCCGUGAGGACCUGGACGUGCUGGGUCUGUCUUUCAGGAAGGAUCUCUACAUCUCCACCUUCCAGGCCUUCCCUCCGGUCCCUGAGGAGAAGAAACCCAACAGUCGUCUGCAGGAGAGGCUGCUGAAGAAGCUCGGUCAGCAUGCACACCCGUUCUACUUCACUAUUCCUCAGAACCUCCCGUGUUCAGUCACUUUACAGCCCGGCCCAGAGGACACUGGGAAGGCCUGUGGUGUGGACUUUGAGAUCAGAGCUUUCUGUGCCAAGUCAAUAGAAGAGAAGAUUCACAAGAGGAACUCGGUGCGUCUGGUGAUCAGGAAGGUGCAGUACGCUCCGGAGAAGCCCGGUCCUCAGCCGAUGGUGGAGACGACCCGCAGCUUCCUGAUGUCUGACAGAUCCCUACACCUGGAGCUGUACUACCACGGAGAGCCCAUCAGCGUCAACGUCCACGUCACCAACAACUCCACCAAGACCGUCAAGAGAGUCAAGAUCUCCGUGCGUCAGUAUGCAGACAUCUGCCUGUUCAGUACUGCCCAGUAUAAAUGUCCAGUGGCCCAGCUGGAGGCAGACGACCAGGUGUCGUCCAGCUCCACCUUCUGCAAGGUGUACACUCUGACCCCGACGCUCGACAAGAACCGAGAGAAGAGAGGACUCGCUCUGGACGGGAAACUCAAACACGAAGACACCAACCUGGCCUCCUCCACCAUUGUGAAGGACGUCACCAACAAGGAGGUUCUGGGGAUUCUGGUGUCCNNNNNNNNNNNNNNNNNNNNNNNNNNNNNNNNNNNNNNNNNNNNNNNNNNNNNNNNNNNNCAGCCUCUCUGUCAUAAACCAUCAGGUUCAUUUAAUUAUAGGAAGCCAAAGUGGGGAUUAAUAAUUGAUUAACUGCAGUCGUAUCAGGAGGUAAUAAAAAGAUCCAGUCGAUCA